ACGGUGCUCGCUGAGGUCUGCAGAGGACCUGGAGCCAGGGUUUUCGCGUGUUGUGCUGCCCGUGCCGCUGCAGGGAGCUGGGAGAGGAGCAUGGGCGAGACAGGAAGCCACGGCAUGCAUGCAGUGACCUAUGAUGAUGUGCAUGUUGACUUCACUUGGGAAGAGUGAACUUUACUGGAUCCUUUCCAGAAGAAUCUCUACAAAGCUGUGAUGCUGGAGACCUACAGGAACCUCACAGCCAUAGGGUACAGUUGGGAAGACUACAAUAUUGAGGAACACUGUCAAAGUUCUCAAAGACAUGGAAGGUAAGUAUCCUGUGCAAGCUUACACAAAUGUGCCUCUG